rnacentral:lncRNA from 1 species
GAUCGGGGCUGUCCUGGUGCCCUACGUCGGAGCGCUUACGGUCGCCGGGCGUUACGACUUCAAGCUUCGUAACGGAACCGGCGACAAACAGCCACGGAAUUCAUCCAUAGACCCAAGGACCCUAAGCAGAGCAGUUCCUGAGUGCGGGAGUGAUCUUGUUGUUGCCUCAGAAGAUAUAGAAUUAGGACCUGGAGCGAGCGUCAACAUCG